UAUAUUGUGGUGUAGUUGGUUAUCAUUAGUCUACCAUGGUGCUAUUCCCCGGUUCGAGCCCAGGCAAAAUCA